rnacentral:rRNA from 1 species
UACGUAGGAGGCAAGCGUUAUCCGGAGUAACUGGGCGUAAAGGGCGGGUAGGUGGUUGUGUAAGUUGGUUAUGAAAGCUCCUGGCUAAACUGGGAGAGGUUGACCAAGACUGCAGAACUUGAGUGGAGAAGAGGUAAACGGAAUUCCGCGUGUAGUGGUGAAAUGCGUAGAGAUGCGGAAGAACACCAGUGGCGAAGGCGGUUUACUGGUCUCCAACUGACACUGAGCCGCGAAAGCAUGGGUAGCGAACGGG